ACGCACGCUGGCGGCAGGCCUAACACCUGCAAGUCGAGCGCGCCCUUCGGGGUGAGCGGCGGACGGGUGAGUAACGCGUGGGAACGUGCCCUUUUCUACGGAAUAGCCUCGGGAAACUGAGAGUAAUACCGUAUACGCCCUUUGGGGGAAAGAUUUAUCGGAAAAGGAUCGGCCCGCGUUGGAUUAGGUAGUUGGUGGGGUAAUGGCCUACCAAGCCGACGAUCCAUAGCUGGUUUGAGAGGAUGAUCAGCCACACUGGGACUGAGACACGGCCCAGACUCCUACGGGAGGCAGCAGUGGGGAAUCUUAGACAAUGGGGGCAACCCUGAUCUAGCCAUGCCGCGUGAGUGAUGAAGGCCUUAGGGUUGUAAAGCUCUUUCAGCUGGGAAGAUAAUGACGGUACCAGCAGAAGAAGCCCCGGCUAACUCCGUG
rnacentral:rRNA from 1 species